rnacentral:rRNA from 1 species
GACGUAGGGCGCGAGCGUUGUCCGGAUUUAUUGGGCGUAAAGAGCUCGUAGGCGGCUUGUUGCGUCGGCUGUGAAAACCCGCGGCUUAACCGCGGGCUUGCAGCCGAUACGGGCGGGCUGGAGUUCGGUAGGGGAGACUGGAAUUCCUGGUGUAGCGGUGAAAUGCGCAGAUAUCAGGAGGAACACCGGUGGCGAAGGCGGGUCUCUGGGCCGAUACUGACGCUGAGGAGCGAAAAGCGUGGGGAGCGAACAGG